GGGUGUCGGGUCAACAUAGGGUUGAUCUAGGGCAGGUAAUUGUGUUGGUCGGGCCGCCACG
rnacentral:ncRNA from 12 species